rnacentral:rRNA from 1 species
UGGGGAAUUUUGGACAAUGGGCGAAAGCCUGAUCCAGCAAUGCCGCGUGUGUGAAGAAGGCCUUCGGGUUGUAAAGCACUUUUGUCCGGAAAGAAAUCCUUGGCUCUAAUACAGUCGGGGGAUGACGGUACCGGAAGAAUAAGCACCGGCUAACUACGUGCCAGCAGCCGCGGUAAUACGUAGGGUGCAAGCGUUAAUCGGAAUUACUGGGCGUAAAGCGUGCGCAGGCGGUUUGCUAAGACCGAUGUGAAAUCCCCGGGCUCAACCUGGGAACUGCAUUGGUGACUGGCAGGCUAGAGUAUGGCAGAGGGGGGUAGAAUUCCACGUGUAGCAGUGAAAUGCGUAGAGAUGUGGAGGAAUACCGAUGGCGAAGGCAGCCCCCUGGGCCAAUACUGACGCCCAUGCACGAAAGCGUGGGGGAGCAAAACAGGAUUCAGAUACCCUGGUAGUCCACGCCCUAAACGAUGUCAACUAGUUGUUGGGGAUUCAUUUCCUUAGUAACGUAGCUAACGCGUGAAGUUGACCGCCUGGGGAGUACGGUCG